CGGGUGAGGCUAAUAUCCUUGCCUAAUGACGGUACCUGAAGAAUAAGCACCGGCUAACUACGUGCCAGCAGCCGCGGUAAUACGUAGGGUGCAAGCGUUAAUCGGAAUUACUGGGCGUAAAGCGUGCGCAGGCGGUUGUGCAAGACAGAUGUGAAAUCCCCGGGCUCAACCUGGGAAUUGCAUUUGUGACUGCACGGCUAGAGUGUGUCAGAGGGGGGUAGAAUUCCACGUGUAGCAGUGAAAUGCGUAGAUAUGUGGAGGAAUACCGAUGGCGAAGGCAGCCCCCUGGGAUAACACUGACGCUCAUGCACGAAAGCGUGGGGAGCAAACAGGAUUAGAUACCCUGGUAGUCCACGCCCUAAACGAUGUCUACUA
rnacentral:rRNA from 1 species